rnacentral:lncRNA from 1 species
CCAGCGCCUACUUGCUGACAAGCUGCCCAACUGCCAUGGAAUGUUUAGGAGAGGGGAAAGAUGCUCAAAUUGGCCUUUCACUUGGAUGGAUCUAGGAGCCGUAGGAAAGAGAGAACAUGAAUCUUGAGCACAUUCAAAUGUGUCUGCAGAUCUGCCCAAUGGACUGGACAGAAAGGAGAAAAUUGAGGAAUAUGUUUGGAAGAAAGUUCCAGAGCCUAGAGAUCAGUGGGAAGACUGGUUCCAAGAAAAGUGUGAAGUUAGCCUGGCCAUUGUCUACCACAGCACCACCUCCACCCUUGGAGCACCGGUGACGUCUGAGAAGGGAAAGCCAGGCCCGUGGUAUAAUUGAGGAAUCUGACUGUCCUGGUGUGGAAAACCCCUACCAAGGAGCUGGAUAAAAAACAUAGAGGAACUUAUGGCCAGCCGGAGAGAAGAGCCCCAUUAGUUCGGGAGUAGGGAGAACAGCAUCCAGUUGACUGUCAAGAACACGGAAACAGGAGGAGCAGCCGUCUCUGAAAGAAUCAAGCUCUGAAAUUAAGAGAAGACAUAGUUUGAAGGAAAGCAGACACUCUUUGGGAUCAACGUAUUGGGGCUUCUACUCCUGAUAGGUCUACGGUCUUAGACAAGUUAACCCGCAUCCUUGAGUAAACUGGAUAUCAUAACACCCACCAUCCAGGACAAUUGUGGAGGAGACACUGUAAAAUGACUGAAGAGCUGCCUUAGAUACAACAUCAUUUCCAAAUCAGAGUGGUGGAGGCAAUCAGGAUACUUAUAUAAGGCCAUUAAAGAUCCUUCAUUAGCAUCAAGUGCCCCUUUGUAAUGAUCCAGGUAGCCUGGGAGGAAGAAGGUUUAACCUCUCUGCAGGGAAGAAGCCUCAGAUGCUGAAGAUUUCACUGUCCAAGUGUCACAUUAAAUGGAGAAAAUUUUUAAGAUUCCUCUGCCUGUUCCUUGAUUUUGUAGUGGACCUUGAUUGUCUAUGAUUGAGAGCACUCUUGCAAGGUGGUCUUUGCAGCAAGAAAGCUCAUGGAAAAGAAGUCAUUUUGAGUGGAGAUGCAAUAAACUAAUUUAUUAUU